rnacentral:misc_RNA from 1 species
GAAAUGCGAUAAGUAGUGUGAAUUGCAGAAUUCAGUGAAUCAUCGAAUCUUUGAACGCACAUUGCGCCUUCCGGACUUGUUCGGGAGGCAUGCCUGUUCGAGCGUCAUUAAAAAAAACCACUCAAGCUCUUUUGCUUGGUUAUGAUGGAGGAGCGGUGCCCUGGUGCGGGCUCCCCAUCGAAAUUCAAUGGCGGAAAGCCUUGUGGCUGCCACGGUGUGAUAAGUUAAACCUUUCGCCUGGUGCCCAAGGUGCUCCUGCCUUCAACCCCCAUUCUUUCUAUGGUUGACCUCGGAUCAGGUAGGGAUACCCGCUGAACUUAA